GACAAUGCUGAAUAUUCACAGAGGUCAAGAGAGUGUCUGGCACCAUGUUUAUUAUUCAAGUGCACCUUCUGGGACCUUCUGGGGUGUCUCAUCACCAGAUUCUUGACCUUCUUUUCAGUCUGCCUGGCAAGUGCUCAACUUGCAUAAUUUCUUUUAGUCAAUAAUGGAAAAUUGAAACUUGCAAUUAACUUCCAAGCAGGAAUUAUAUGCCUAUGUAGGUAUAUGUAUCCUGAAAAGUGAUCUUAAAAGAUGCUUCAGUAAGGACUGAUUUUUUUCAUUAACCAUCUCUUAUGAUACCAAUUUGCUCCCCUCUACUUCUGGAAGAAUGCAAAUUAAAUCCACUCUGUCAAUAGUAAUUUCUGGAUAUUAAAAGGACCUGGUUACUUUGUUAUAUCAGCUUCUGCUCAGAAAUCAACUUUAGAGGAUAAAGUACCAAAUUCUCAGCUUGACAUUCAAAGCCUUCCACAGAAGGCUCCAACUCUGCAUCCUAGCCUGUUCCCUCCAAGCUUCCCACUCCACCCUAAUGAAUGGGCAUUUUCAGGGUUUGCUAACUGUAGAGUGGGCUUGCCUAACUUGAUAUUCUGCAUAUAUUGUGACUUCAACUUAGCAGAACUCUCCCACCUCUCUGCAACCUCCAAAAGCCAUGCCAAGGCCUGCCUCUUCUCUCAGAUUGUUCCAGUCCACUGCGAUAUUGCCCUCCUGAAUUUAUGUUACUUAUUGUUGGUCACAUUCACUUGGAAAUUAAUCACAUAUGUCCUCAUAAUUUGUCUUCUAAUGUUCCAUUGCAUUUAAUUCUGGUUUUAUUUAUUAACUUAUUGUUUAUUGCUUUUAUUAAGAUUGCUAGAUGCUAACCUUAUUGAGGUCAAGAAAAAACCAUGAAAUUUUAUAUCUCCCAUGGGAUUCAUUUCUGUAUCCGGUGAAUACCGAUUGAUCAAUAUCUUCCUAUCAGGUUGGUCCUUGCUGACAAGGGAUGACAUUGCAGAAAGUAUCCAGCGCUGAGGCUUAAAACAUGGAUUUUUUCCUUCUUUUAUAGAAUUGUAAAGCAGUCCCAUAAUGUGGGAAACAUUGUUUAUUCACAGUGAACUAUCUAAAAAGCAGAUUUUCUAUUUUUCUCCUUCAUGUCUCCUCUCUCAACCUCUUUCUCAGAUUAUUUUUCUCAUUUUUACUAAUCGUCAAAACCUACGUGUUAUGCUGAGGGCUGACUGCUUACGCAGCUUCUAGGUGUCACUGGCAGAAACAUGUCUUUCAGCUGGUAACCCUCACUCAAGGGUUAACAUUUAGAGCUUAGGAAUAUCUUUAGACAAGCUAAUUAAGGGGUAGUUUGCAUUGUGUUUGUGCAUGUGUGGUUGUGCGUGUUUAACAAAGUAAAAAUAAAAUUGUGAAUUCUUGGGAGAUUUUGCCAUGAAGAGGUUAAGAGGAUUGUAAAUUGUUCUGUAAUUUGAACACUGAGGUGGUAAUGCAGUAAAGGCCGAUGAACAAACAGGCAUCAGAGGGUCUGCAUGAAUGACUCCUGGCUCAUCCUAUGUCCAUCUGCUCCUGCCUCUUCUCACCGCAUUGCCCUGGAUUUUAAAAAUUCUAACUUAAAAUAGGAAAUUUCUCGAUUUUUUUCCCUGGAAGCUUGUCAAUGAUAUAAAUGUUAAAUUCAUGGUUCAAUGAUAUAUUUUUUAAAUUUCUCAGUAAGCUAUUCUAAAAUUAGCUUUCUAAUUGUGCACAUUGCUUCUUCCUCUCAGCUCUGUGCCCUUUGCCAUCUUCACUGCGGUCCUCUACUUCCCCCGCUCCUCCCCCGUCUUCCACUAGCAAACAAACCCAGCAGUAAUUACUAAUGUCCAAGCACGUAAUUCCGGCAGCAUUAGGCUUUUCAUUUGACGCAACUACGCAGACAGCUGUCUGGACAUGCAGCAUGGAGUUAAAGCAUUUUUAAAGAUUCCUGCCCAUAUUUUCUCUCCUCCACUACUAAAACACAGUUGUUUAUUUUUGUCUGCAGAUUGCAUAGUUAUAAACUUCUUUUAUACAUUUACAUACUCGUAUAUAAAUGUCCACCCAAACAAUUUUACAUCCAUGCAAAAUAACAGAUCAACAUAUACAUACAUGGAAACACAUGGUCAUCUAUAAAAAGAAAAACGCUAGGAAAUAAUUAAAUAGCUGGGAAUGAAAUUACCUUCUGUAUAUGGACAGGGAAUUUUAGUAUCUGUGGCAUACAGAUGAUAGGAGGUAUGACUAUCUAAACACAAUCCAAGUUCUCAUUUGGGGUCUUUUAAGGGGAUCAUGAUAGCGUUUCUUUAAUGCAUUGUAUAGAUUAUUACAUAUGACGCUGUUACUCUUUUUUGCUAAUGACUCAAAUGGCAUAAUUUUGACACUGGUCAUUUUUAUGCCCGUUUUAUCUAUAUCAAACAGAGAGAAAUAUCCCUGAUGACUUUUGCUCUCUCAGAUGCUCCAAGCCCCAGAGUAGAAAAUGGUUAAAGUAGUUAUCGCCACCUCAGCAAAAUCCCGCAGUGCCAUAAGAGAAAUUGCAGUAGAUCUUUGGGUCAGAGUUAAGUUCUAGUUUAACACCAUGGUUCUUUACCUGCAUUACCCUGAAGGACACACUUGGAUUCUCCUGAGGAAGGCCAGUCUUAAUAUUGUCAAAAUCUAAAGCUAUCAGCCUGCGAUAACAAGUGCUGAUAGGAAAUACUUCCAGUAACUCUGAAACCAUGGCCGAAGAGGUUAAAUCUAUUCAGUACAGGACCAGUAAAAUUUUUCAGAUAUGUGUUUUUGUGGAUGAAUGCUUGUGUUCAUGCCUGAUUGCAAGGAUGGGGGAAGAAGGAAAAGGAAGAGUGAUUCAUUCUUAAAGUUGAUUCUGCUUAGUUCAGCUAAUCUCACAUUUUUAUCAAAUGGAAACAGAGAGAGAGAUGUAUCAUCCCUAUAAACAGAUAGCAUUGGGUUCUUCAUAUAUACAGUACUCAGGCUCACCCAAGAUCUGUAGACAGAUCUACUCUGUGUUAAAAAACAAAACCAAACAAAAACCUUGAUACUCUGCUGGAGGAUAAAUCCAUAUUUUUUAAAAAAUGUAUUUAUUUUCUACGUAAAAUAAGGGUCAGAGGGCAACACAGAAGAUUUCCACAGGUAGACUACUAUUUUGUUGAAGCUAUGCAGGAGGUGAGGAGGGGAACAGGAAAUUGUCUGCAAAGGAGUCUCUGUGAGGAAGAUUUAUUUCUUUCUUGUUUUCUUUUAACCUACUAUGACUCCUCUAUUAAGGGUCUCCGUAAGACCGGGGUCUCAGAGAGACAAUUUGGUCUCCAGCCCCGGCACAUCCAGCCCUGGCCAGGCAUUUCUGCCGCAGGCAGAUGCGGCGCUGCGACCGGACCGCUGUCCCCGGUGCUGAAAGGUCGAGGGCGUCCGCGCGAGCCCUCGGUAUUGCUAUCCAGGGUGCUGAGCGCGGGCCGCUGCAGUCCCCGAAGCCAGCCCACCCGCGCCAGCCCUCCGCAGAGCCCUCCCACCCGGCACGACCCGCCCGCCUCCCGCCAGCCUGCAGUUGACGUGGAGCAGGCGGCAUAAAUCAAGUCCGCGGGGCAUGGAGGCUGCUGUCGCUGCAGCAGCUCAGCUUGCCCGGGGCGGGAACUCCCCCUUUCUCCUUUCACCUCCCCAGCACCCACACCCUGUCUCCCCCUUAAUUCUUCCCUGGAUAAUAGCACCCUAGCGACAACAGUCAUAAUAGUAGGGUUAAAACGACAGGGGAGGAAAACCCAACAGCCUAAAUAUCUCUGAAAACUGCAUCGCAAAAUGGAAGAAAGAGGGGGUCCCACUACUGUUUCAAAAGAGUAAGUUAUUAUUCGGAGCCAUGGAAGCCAAAUGCUGAGGAUGGUGGCAUCAUAGGAUGAAUGGAGCUGGGUUCUUGAAACACUGCUUGGAGGAAAGACAGCAAAAAUGCCUCAGGAAUCCCACUGGACUGUUAGGAUGCUCACCCUUGGAGACCAGCAACAAUGUGUGCAGAAACCCAGGCCAUGUGGAGAGGCCCCACGUACGUGUCCAACUGAGGUCCCAGCUGACAGCUGGCAUUGACAUGUGAGUGAGACUCUGAACGUUCCAGCUGAUGACGAGUACAGUUUGAGCAAGCUAUCCCUGUUGGGCCUGUCAAAACUGCAGAUUUCAUGAAGAAAAUAAGUGUCAUUGACUUAAGCCGGUAAGUUUUGACAUACUAUGUUACACAGCCAUAGUAGCUGGAAGAGUGUGAAACGAAUACUAUUCUCUUGUGUCUCAUUUCUCUAUAAAGUAUAUC